GACGAACGCUGGCGGCGUGCCUAAUACAUGCAAGUCGAACGCAGUGGGGGCGGGUGAGUAACACGUGGGUAACCUCCCAUCAGAAGGGAUAACACUAGGAAACAUGUGGUAAACAGAUACUGAUGGAUGGACCCUCGGUCCAUUGGCUAGUUGGUGAGGUAACGGCUCACCAAGGCCACGAUGCAUAGCCGACCUGAGAGGGUGAUCGGCCACACUGGGACGGAGCCACGGCCCAGACUCCUACGGGAGGCAGCAGUAGGGAAUCUUCGGCAAUGGACGAAAGUCUGACCGGGCAACGCCGCGUGAGUGAAGAAGGUUUUCGGAUCGUAAAACUCUGUUGUUAGAGAAGCGGUAUCUAACCAGAAAGCCACGGCUAACUACGUGCCAGCAGCCGCGGUAAUUC
rnacentral:rRNA from 1 species